rnacentral:rRNA from 1 species
AUUGAACGCUGGCGGAAUGCUUUACACAUGCAAGUCGAACGGCAGCACGGACUUCGGUCUGGUGGCGAGUGGUGAACGGGUGAGUAAUACAUCGUAACGUGCCCAGUCGUGGGGGAUAACGUAGCGAAAGCUACGCUAAUACCGCAUACGAUCUAAGGAUGAAAGCGGGGGAUCGCAAGACCUCGCGCGAUUGGAGCGGCCGAUGGCAGAUUAGGUAGCUGGUAGGGUAGAGGCCUACCAAGCCGACGAUCUGUAGCUGGUCUGAGAGGAUGAUCGGCCACACUGGGACGGAGACACGGCCCAGAAUCCUACGGGAGGCAGCAGUGGGGAAUUUUGGACAAUGGGCGAAAGCCUGAUCCAGCCAUGCCGCGUGCAGGAUGAAGGCCUUCGGGUUGUAAACUGCUUUUGUACGGAACGAAAAGGUUUGGGCUAAUAAGCUGAGCUCAUGACGGUACCGUAAGAAUAAGCACCGGCUAACUACGUGCCAGCCGCCGCCGUAA